rnacentral:rRNA from 1 species
GGCUCAGGACGAACGCUGGCGGCGCGCCUAACACAUGCAAGUCGAACGGGGAAGUUAGCAAUAACUUUCUAGUGGCGAACGGGUGAGUAACGCGUAGACAACCAACCUUGCAGUGGGGGACAACACUUCGAAAGGAGUGCUAAUACCGCAUACGCUCUUUAGAUCGCAUGGUUUGAAGAGGAAAGGAGCCGCAAGGCUUCGUUGCAAGACGGGUCUGCGUCUGAUUAGCUAGUUGGGGGGGUAACGGCCCACCAAGGCGACGAUCAGUAGCCGGUCUGAGAGGAUGAACGGCCACACUGGGACUGAGACACGGCCCAGACUCCUACGGGAGGCAGCAGUGGGGAAUCUUCCGCAAUGGACGAAAGUCUGACGGAGCGACGCCGCGUGAGUGAUGAAGGCCCUUGGGUCGUAAAGCUCUGUCAUUGGGGACGAACGAUUACGUCAGGAAAUGGGCGUGAAGUGACGGUACCCAAGAAGGAAGCCACGGCUAACUACGUGCCAGCAGCCGCGGUAAUACGUAGGUGGCAAGCGUUGUCCGGAAUUAUUGGGCGUAAAGCGCGCGCAGGUGGGAUCUUAAGUCUAUUUUGAAAGUUCGGAGCUUAACUCCGUGAUGGGAUAGAAACUGGGAUUCUUGAGUACCGGAGAGGAAAGCGGAAUUCCCCGUGUAGCGGUGAAAUGCGUAGAUAUGGGGAGGAACACCAGUGGCGAAGGCGGCUUUCUGGACGGUGUCUGACACUGAGGCGCGAAAGCUAGGGGAGCGAACGGGAUUAGAUACCCCGGUAGUCCUAGCCGUAAACGAUGGGUACUAGGUGUGGGGGGUGUCAACUCCUCCCGUGCCGGCGCUAACGCAAUAAGUACC